rnacentral:rRNA from 1 species
UCGCGUAGGGAUUUAUCGUUGGGUGGGGGAUAACCGCGGGAAACUGCGGCUAAUACCGCAUGACGCCUGUGGGCCAAAGCCGCUGUGAGGUGGUGCCUGAUGAGGAGCCUGCGUCCGAUUAGCUAGUAGGUUGGGUAAUGGCUGACCUAGGCUGUGAUCGGUAGCUGGUCUGAGAGGAUGAUCAGCCACACUGGGACUGAGACACGGCCCAG